rnacentral:sRNA from 1 species
UUGACAUUAUUCUUGGUGUGGCUUAACGUCAGGCGUGAGGGUAAGGGAGGAUUCCUCCUCCCCCAGGUGUCUUAGUAAGCCUGGAAGCUAAUCACUAAGCGUAUCACCAGUAUGAUGACUACCUUCAUCAUAACCCUUUCCUUAU